rnacentral:lncRNA from 15 species
AGAAUGUAACUAAAGCAAUACAGACAUCAGGUUUUGGACAGAAGAUAGAUUUUAACACUGAUGAUGUUGAUCAUUUUCAUGAAUUCUUUUUUUCUUUUUUUACCAUGGUGAUGGCUGCACGUGCACAUGGUGUCACAAACCCAAAAGCAGAACAGACAGGUUGGUGAAAAACAAGUCUUUUAUUCUUUAGAAGACGCUGAAUAAGGUGAGCUGGUGGCGGGCUGAUGUUUGGGCUGCAGUGAGGUCAGGUAUCCAGGGGAGAAAACGUGCAGUGGGGAAAACUGGGGAAUGAGAGCUGGUGACUGGCUUGGCAAACUGGUGUGGAGAGCUGGCAGACAGGUGAUCCUGGAGGCAGAGAGAACCAGUGUAAAGAACUCUGGCAGACAGACAGGCAAACCAACUAACAGGCUUGCAGCAAGACUGGCUGACUAGACUCUUCAGUGAGCUGAAGCGAGGCUCUAACAUACUGUAGACUCUUCUCAUUCUCUGUUUGGUGCCUCCUCGUCUCUUCUCUCCGAAACCAUUCCUUGUUUGCAUUUGACCUUGAUACAGGUAGUUGCUUUGCAGAUGGGAUGUGUGUAUGCAAUAAAAAAACAAUAAAAAAAACAUAAACUGUUGAAAUUCUGAGGAAUGCCUAUAUUAUAUGAACAUAUAUUUAUUUUCACAGUUAAGAAGCAAGUGAUAAAACUGAGUGUGCUGAAAGACUCCUCUCUGGAUCUGAAUGACCCUGCUGUGGUGGAACAAGUCUUGAAGCAGAUCAAACAGAGGCUGAAGGACCAGGGGGUGAAUCAAGACAUCAAACUGAGCUGGAGGAAGCAGUCAGAUGGAAAGAUCUUCCACAAGGACGAGAAGGAGACAGAGAAGAGGAAGAAGAGGGAGCUUUAAUUGCUGUGUCUGUUUUCAUCAGAGUCCUCAUGUAAUGGGUCAGAAUAUAUCUGCAACAAUCAGUCAGUUAAUCAAUUCAUCAUUUUAUUUAACAAGCAAAAAUAACAAAUAUUCACGGGUUCCAGUUUCUUAAAUGUGAGGAUUAUAUCAUUGUCUGCAACAUUGCAUGUUUCCACUAAUGUAGGAUAUUUUUUAUCAUAGAUAUCAUGUCUCAAAUAGAUAAAUAGGUGGUAAUUAUAUGUCACCUAGUUUAAUUCUGCAGCCCCUGUAGAUUCUCCUUUGGGCCUGGAAGGGGAAGGUGAAGUGUGGGAGUUGCAAUCUAAGAUAAAAUAUGAUUAAAUUAGAUUAGAUUAGUUUCAAUUAAGAUUAGAUUAGAUACUGUACGAUAAGAUAAAACAGGUAAUAGAACAUAAGAAUUGACUGGAGGCAACUCCAGUGGAAAAAAAGCACCA